GAACCGUGCGAACGUUGUUCGGAAUCACUGGGCUUAAAGGGCGCGUAGGCGGCCGCCCGAGUCAGGGGUGAAAGCCCCCAGCUCAACUGGGGAAGUGCCCCCGAUACUGGGCGGCUCGAGGGGGAUAGGGGCGGACGGAACUUCCGGUGGAGCGGUGAAAUGCGUUGAUAUCGGAAGGAACGCCGGUGGCGAAAGCGGUCCGCUGGGUCCCCUCUGACGCUGAGGCGCGAAAGCCAGGGGAGCAAACGGGAUUAGAUACCCCGGUAGUCCUGGCCCUAAACGAUGGGUACUAGGCUGUGGGCUUGACAUGGGCUCACAGCCGAAGCGAAAGUGCUAAGUACCCCGCCUGGGGAGUAUGGUCGCAAGGCUGAA
rnacentral:rRNA from 1 species